rnacentral:ncRNA from 2 species
AACAAAUUAAUCAUUCGUCCUCAUAUAUUCUUGGUAAUAUGGUCCAAGAGUUUCUACCGGAAAGCCUUAAACUUUCUAGCUAUGAGUUGAGAGUAUUUUUCU